rnacentral:rRNA from 1 species
CCUACGGGUGGCAGCAGUGAGGAAUAUUGGUCAAUGGGCGCAAGCCUGAACCAGCCAAGUCGCGUGAGGGAUGACGGUCCUAUGGAUUGUAAACCUCUUUUGUCGGGGAGCAAGGCCCGCCACGUGUGGCGGGAAGGAGAGUACCCGAAGAAAAAGCAUGGGCUAACUCCGUCACAGCCGCCGAGGUAAUACGGAGGAUGGGAGCGUUAUCCGGAUUUAUUGGGGUUAAGGGGUGCGGGGGCGGAAGGUUAAGUCAGUGGUGAAAUGUCGGGGCUCAACCCGGGAAUGGCAUUGAAACCGGGUAGUGUGGAGUAUAGUAGAGGGGGGCGGAAGGCGGGGUGUAGCGGUGAAAUGCGUAGAGAGCACGAAGAAUACCGAUGGCGAAGGCGGUUCACUGGAC